AUUGAACGCUGGCGGUAUGCUUAACACAUGCAAGUCGAACGGCAGCAUGGUCUAGCUUGCUAGACUGAUGGCGAGUGGCGGACGGGUGAGUAACGCGUAGGAAUAUGCCUUGAAGAGAGGGACAACUUGGGGAAACUCAAGCUAAUACCGCAUGUACUCGAGAGAGUAAAGCUGGGGACCUUUAGGCCUGGCGCUUUCAGAUUAGCCUGCGUCCGAUUAGGUAGUUGGUAGGGUAAAGGCCUACAAAGGCGACGAUCGGUAGCUGGUCUGAGAGGAUGAUCAGCCACACUGGAACUGAGAGACGGUCCAGACUCCUACGGGAGGCAGCAGUGGGGAAUAUUGGACAAUGGGGGGAACCCUGAUCCAGCAAUGCCGCGUGUGUGAAGAAGGCCUGAGGGUUGUAAAGCACUUUCAGUGGGGAGGAGGUUUGGAAGGUUAAGAGCUAUUCAAAUGGACGUUACCCACAGAAGAAGCACCGGCUAACUCCGUGACAGCAGCCGCGGUAA
rnacentral:rRNA from 1 species